rnacentral:rRNA from 1 species
GAUGAACGCUGGCGGCGUGCCUAAUACAUGCAAGUCGAGCGAACAGACGAGGAGCUUGCUCCUCUGACGUUAGCGGCGGACGGGUGAGUAACACGUGGAUAACCUACCUAUAAGACUGGGAUAACUUCGGGAAACCGGAGCUAAUACCGGAUAAUAUAUUGAACCGCAUGGUUCAAUAGUGAAAGACGGUUUUGCUGUCACUUAUAGAUGGAUCCGCGCCGCAUUAGCUAGUUGGUAAGGUAACGGCUUACCAAGGCAACGAUGCGUAGCCGACCUGAGAGGGUGACCGGCCACACUGGAACUGAGACACGGUCCAGACUCCUACGGGAGGCAGCAGUAGGGAAUCUUCCACAAAGGGCGAAAGCCUGACGGAGCAACGCCGCGUGAGUGAUGAAGGUCUUCGGAUCGUAAAACUCUGUUAUUAGGGAAGAACAAAUGUGUAAGUAACUAUGCACGUCUUGACGGUACCUAAUCAGAAAGCCACGGCUAACUACGUG